CCUACGUGAGGCUGCAGUGGGGAAUAUUGCACAAUGGGGGGAACCCUGCUGCAGCGACGCCGCGUUAGUGCAGAAGUAUUUCGGUAUGUAAAGCUCUAUCAGCAGGGAAGAACAUGACGGUACCUGACUAAGAAGCCCCGGCUAACUACGUGCCAGCAGCCGCGGUCAUACGUAGGGGGCAAGCGUUAUCCGGAUUUACUGGGUGUAAAGGGAGCGCAGACGGCUGUGCAAGUCUGGAGUGAAAGGCGGGGGCCCAACCCCCGGACUGCUCUGGAAACUGUAAAGCUGGAGUGCAGGAGAGGUAAGCGGAAUUCCUAGUGUAGCGGUGAAAUGCGUAGAUAUUAGGAGGAACACCAGUGGCGAAGGCGGCUUACUGGACUGCAACUGACGUUGAGGCUCGAAAGCGUGGGGAGCAAACAGGAUUAGAUACCCCUGUAGUC
rnacentral:rRNA from 1 species